GUAACACGUGGGCAACCUACCUAUAAGACUGGGAUAACUUCGGGAAACCGGAGCUAAUACCGGAUGACACAAAGGAACUCCUGUUCCUUUGUUGAAAGAUGGCUUCGGCUAUCACUUAUAGAUGGGCCCGCGGCGCAUUAGCUAGUUGGUGAGGUAACGGCUCACCAAGGCGACGAUGCGUAGCCGACCUGAGAGGGUGAUCGGCCACACUGGGACUGAGACACGGCCCAGACUCCUACGGGAGGCAGCAGUAGGGAAUCUUCCGCAAUGGACGAAAGUCUGACGGAGCAACGCCGCGUGAACGAUGAAGGCCUUCGGGUCGUAAAGUUCUGUUGUUAGGGAAGAACAAGUGCUAGUUAAAUAAGCUGGCACCUUGACGGUACCUAACCAGAAAGCCACGGCUAACUACGUGCCAGCAGCCGCGGUAAUACGUAGGUGGCAAGCGUUGUCCGGAAUUAUUGGGCGUAAAGCGCGCGCAGGCGGUUUCUUAAGUCUGAUG
rnacentral:rRNA from 1 species